rnacentral:rRNA from 1 species
UACGAAGGGUGCAAGCGUUACUCGGAAUUACUGGGCGUAAAGCGUGCGUAGGUGGUUCGUUAAGUCCGAUGUGAAAGCCCUGGGCUCAACCUGGGAAUGGCAUGGGAUACUGGCGGGCUAGAGUGCGGUAGAGGGUGGCGGAAUUCCCGGUGUAGCGGUGAAAUGCGUAGAUAUCGGGAGGAACAUCUGUGGCGAAGGCGGCCACCUGGACCAGCACUGACACUGAGGCACGAAAGCGUGGGGAGCAAACAGG